UGAACACAGGCACUCCACAUUCACUACUGCAUGCUGACAGCAUUUUUUUGCCACUGCCCGAAUGGAUAAUUGCUAGUCUAUAUUUUCAUCAAAGGGAGCAAGAUGGUGAUGUUGAAGGACAGUGAUCUGCACAUAGAAAAAAAAAAAAUCGC